GUUAAUAACCUGGCUAGGACUAGGGCAAGGAUGCAUCAUGUUUUCUAUUAUUGCGUGUUGAUAUGGUUGAGUGCAGGUAUCCGUUAUCUUUAAAGAUAGUUUCAUAGCAGGAGGCUAACUAUCUGGGUAACAGUUUGAUUAAGUAGAUUGCUUGUUAGAUUAAUUAAAUGCUUGCCCGUUUAAUUAAUAUUGUUGAUUGACGUUAGUCACCUCUUGGUAAGGGAGUGAUUAACUGGUUGAGUUGUUAGAAUUAUGUUAUUUGGUUAUGUGUUAGAAUCCUAGUGAGUCAGUCAUGAGUACAUGUUUGGUCAGAGAAUCCUACUUGGAUUCUAGAGCCAAGUAUUUUCCUUAGGAAUUGAGAUUAGUAGAGUGUUAGGUAACUCGCAAGUGUGUGAGAUAGAGUUGAGAACCUCGUGAUGGUUCUACUUUUGGCAGGUCAUUGUUUCCUCAAAUUGGUACCACUAAGCCGGUUGUGGUCCAGAAAUUGGUACCAUUGAUGAGUUGAUCACCAAGGCCGAUUGUCACACGUGGAUGUGACAGCCCCCUGCGAGUCCGAUAGAGGACCGGGGCACGGCGAUUACGAUUGAGGACCGUGACCGGGUGAUUCCCGAGCGUCUAUUUUCUCUCAUCAUUAUUUUAAAUUUAAUUUGGAAGAUAAAAAUUUCGAUUUUGUGGGUUAUUUCGUUUCUUAUAUAUAUAUAUACCAGGGGAAACCUGCCCUACGGGCGGACGAAUGAAUAAACUAAUAGUACAAAUCUAUUUUAAUGUUUGAUUUAUUUUAACUAAAGGUAGCAUUGACAUUCAUGAAUUUCUCACAACAAUUUUAACUAUUUAUUUGACUAUAUAUUUGUAAAAAAUAAUUAUUUAUUUUCUCUCAAUGUUUAUUCUAGUUAACAAUAACAAUAAGUCAAUAGAUUUUCUUAAAAAUUACAAUAGAUUAGAGUUAGUAGAGUAAAAUUAUUUUCGCUCUUAGUUAUAUAUUUGUUUCAUAAAUUAAAUUAUUUUUUAUACAUUUUCUUAAAACUAAUGAUAUAGACAAUAUAAAAGAAAUAACUUAUUCAUUAUAAGAAUUUUGAAGUUCUGGUUGGUUAUGUGCUUUGUUUGCAUUUGGAUAUGAUGUAUAUGGUAAUAUGUUUGCUUUUUAAUAAUGCUUUGCGCGAAGAUUUUAGAAGGUAAACGGAAGAAUUAUAUUAUGAUAUGAGGUAAACGGCAGGAAGAAUUAUAUAUGAUAUGAAUUAUGUUGUUUGUCUCUAAAGCUAGUUUAUAGUAUACAAUACCGAUUAAUUUGAUUCGCAAGAGCAGUUUAAUCUGGCGAAGAAGUAUUCGGGUGACAUAUUUGAUAGGCUGCGUAAGCUUCAAAGGUGUUGGUGUUGUUGGUCUUUUUAAAAAUUUGUGCCCAUAGUUGGUGGGAUUACUUUUUUCCGUUAUGGGCGUGAAAAGUUUAGUAGAUUAGUUUUAAAUAAUUAUGUUUGCCGGGAGAGUUUUAAGCUUUAGACGGGGAAAAAGGUUAUGUAUGUCGGCCAAUUAUUGUGUAGAUCCUCCCUGGAAAGCUAUCUUCACCUUCUUAUCGAGUAAAGAAUGACAUUUGCCAAAGAAAUAGAACCUAAGUUCAAGUGCUUUUGUAAUGUCUUUUGAAACUUUGUCUAAACAUCCAAGAUGGCGAAGAGCGUGAUAGUGGUAAGAGACCGUAACAUGUUUACUUUCAUUAGAAGGUAAUGUUUAUAUGAUUAUUGUUUAAAUUAUGAUUCCUUUUUUGUAACAGAAUCAGCUGUGUUCUGUCAAGGUGCAACGAAAAUUAACAAUGUGUGUGUUUAGACAGUCUCGGUCCCAUUAGUGCACAAAAUUGCCAUUGUUUUUUUUUAACGUUGAGGACCAAAGAUAUAAUCUUUUUUAUUGAAACAAUGGAUCGAGAAGCUAGACUGAUAUCUUAAUAAUUAAUAAACAAUGACUUAAAGCCUAAUAAUAUCGUACGCGAAACAAAAGGUAUAUGAUCAAACACAUGACUAACAUGCACAUAAUUAAAAUGGAGAUCAGGCAAGAAGAAUCGAAAAUGGAAAACUGGAUUCGUUUAAAUGCUCUCAUCUAUGGGGCCCGAUGCUCACUUGUUCCCCACAUAGAAUUCUUGUACAGUUGUACUCACGAUCAAACAACAGAGAAAAGGUUGACAACUUUUCAUAAUGAUUUGCUCUCACAUGUCACUACUAUCAUCAAGCCAAUCACCUUUUAGACUUUCGAAGCUACUUUCUACAAAUAGAAAACACACAAAAACUAUGGUAAGUAAAAAGGUCACCAUUUAGAACAGCUUGUUUGUAGGAGCUAUUGCGGGACAUUGAAAAUUCUCAUGAGAGACCAUGGUUGGUUUCUCGUCCUUCCGCAUUGAACCUCAGCUCGAAGGAUCAGGAGAGAGCAAGCCAUGAGAGCCAGGUCUGUGUUUGGAGCAGAAUAUGGGCUACUCUUCAGCUUCCUCUGUUUCUUUUGAGAGCACACAUAUUCUUGACCAGUGACCACUACACCUGAAGAGUUGAUUAACAUCACUAUGAUACGUAUUAUACACUAUGCAAUCUUCUUUGUCUCAAGGUUAAUAAAUCUUACCCAUCCCGAUGGAUCCACAACGCCCACAGAUCGAGCUAGGAUUUUGUUGGGGUCUUCGAUAUGCAAGGGUCGAUUCUGUUUUACAACUUUUGUUGUGUCACGGAUCACAACCCGCCCGUCUACCAACUGUGAUCAAAAUAACAAAAUUCAUUACGCAACAUAACCAGCUCGGAGAGUUGAUGAUUCAGUACUCCACCAGGAAAUUCACAGUUAUUCAUCAUAUAAAUUCCCCACCUAACAUGAGAAAGCUAUAUGUUCAAAAGAAAAUUAUUGUGUGAAAGGAUUUAGAUGAUACUGAACUUACGAAAAAAAGCUUGCUAGACUUAAAAACAAUAAAGAAGAGAUUUGAUACUUGUCCGUUUAGUUCUAAUAAAGCUUCCGAAGCUUCUUCUUUAGAAGAGAAUGUGACAUAAGAAAACCCUUCUGGCCUUCAUUUAAUUUAACAUCAUCCAUUACAACAUCCACUGAAGCGACCAAAAAUUUAAAGGACACAAAAGACAUGUGUGUAAAUGCAGCUUCCAAAAAUUCUGAACUAAAACUGGUGUUGAGAUUUAAGAGACUGAUCUCCAAGUACUCGGCCAUAUUGAGAAAAUGCUAGGGUUAAUGUCUCUUCUGUGCUUGAGAAAGAUAAGCCUGCAACAAACUGAGCAUUUAAAAUUAGUGACAGUAGAAUCACUGAAACUCACAUAAGAAGAUCGCUCAUGAGAUCUGUCCUAAGACAAAAGACGAUGCAAUUACAUAAGCGGCAAUUUCACACAUACAGACGCAGAUAAAACAGAACUAAAUAAAAAAAGCAUAUCUGAAACACAUAAAAUCACUGAAACUCAUAAGAAGAAAAGAUGCUUUUAAAUCUGAUAGUUCGAAACUUCAAGAUUGGUCAAACUUCAAAUCAGAGAGAAGGAUAGAUGAGUUAGCUAUUAAACUGAAAAAGAAAUUUAUAUUUAUAUUGUUAUUAUGAAGUUUGAGGAUGAUGUUCAGGGGAUGAAAGCUGACAUUUUUAUAGGUGGAGAUACACCGUCUCUAAGAGAGAUAAGAAGCAUUGAAUGAGGUGAAGGAAUUUAGAAGGCUGUGUUAAUGGAGAUGGAUGAAUGCAUCCCGUAACGUUUCAGAGAAGAUGAAUCGCAGAUGAACGGACACGAACGGAGCUCGAUCCAAAGAUUCCUCAAGAAGAUUUGUCUCUCACAAUCUUCCUAAAACACCAUUGUCGGUAGACCUAAAUGGAGCUCGAACCUGAGAAAUCAUUUGGUCGCCAAUGUUGAAGAGGAGGAAGGACAAUGUCGGCUUAGGUUUUGUUUAUGAGCCCAAAUAAUAAAUUACCAAGCCCACUAAAUCUGCACUUGUAAUAGCCCACUAAAUCUGCACAUGUGUCACUCUCUCCUGUAUCCGAUUAGUGACGUGUCUCUCUGGGAAGAGAAUCCAUCUCUUCUUUAUAUAAUUAGACUUGGGUAAACCCAUCCUACGGACAAACGAAUAAAUAAAACAUUAGUACAAAUUUAUUUUAAAUGAUUAAUUUAUUUUUAACUAAAAAUAGCAUUAAUGUUCUAGUUUUUUACAACAAUUUUAACUAUUUGUUUUACUAUUCAUUUUAAAAUGUAAUUAUUUACUUUCUCUCAUGUGUUUAUUUUAGUUUAAUUAUACCAGUAAGUUACAUAAAUUUUUAAACUACAGUCAAUUGGAGUAGAGUGAAAUUAUUUUCUCUUUUAGUUAUGUAUUUGUUUCAUAAAUUGAAUUUAUUUUUGUUUAUACAUUUCAGAAAAUAAAUAAAACAGGAGGAUUUGUUGUUAUAUUAGGAAAUUUUGGCUACUUAGUAUUCAAGGAUUCUUUCAAGGUAGUAUUUUACGAUAAGGAACAAUCUCUCAUUAUUUGUUCCAAGUGAGCAGCUUCUUUAGCGUUACAUCUUCUUUAUUGUGAAUAUUAAAUAUUUCAACUUGUUGACAAAAAAAAAACAUUUCAACUUAUUUUUCUGUUCAAGUUUAUAAAGUUCAAGUCUAUAUGCUUCUUUUUGAAUUUAUCCUCAGUCAUUAGCUGAAAAUACGAAGCAAGCACAUAUUUUUUUAAUUGAGAAUCAAAUACAAUAAAAACAAAAUAGUAUCAAUACCACAAAUCUGAGUUUAUUUGUGAGAUUGUGUGUAUGUUUUAGCGCUGAUUUCAUAUUUGUUUUUUUUCAUGUUAUGCGUAUCAGCGUUUAUUAUUAGGGGUAAUUGGCUAACUCGAGUCGUCGUGAAAAUUGAAGUAUAUGAAAAUUCUUUGAACUGUUUGAAGUAAUCGAUGAUGUGGCAGCAUAGGAGAAGAGAAAAACUUUCUUUAUAUUAAUAGAUCUGUGUGUGUAUGAGCUGAAAACAGUGGGCAGUAUCAAAUCAAGUACCUCGUGCUUAUCUUCCUUACUACUAUUUCGACGAAAUUCUCACUCGCGGAUUCGUGGGUACGAGAGUAACGGCCAAGUCGUGGAGAAGAAGACCAACACGAUGGGUUGUUUCCUGGUACCGGCAAUCUCACCAUGAAGCUUCUAGAAGCUGCCCACCACGUCGUCGCCGUGGAGUUAGAUAAGCGUAUGGUUGAAAUUCUCCGCACAAGGGUAUCUGACCAUGGUUUUCAAUGAGGAAUACAAAGGACGAUAGAUUGCAGGCAUGAUCGAAUGGAGAAAAGCAAAUUUUCUAACCAUCCGGUCAAGCCACUGAACGGAAAGGCUAAAAACUUGCCGAAGCAGUUACACUAUGGAACGAGCAACAAUAUUAUUAUAUAUCUCACAUCACAUUUAUCUUGUCUAAUCAUAGUAAUCAAUCAUCACAAUAUGACAAGCCGAGAGCAUAAAUAAGUAAAUAAAAAACGAUUACUGCGUAUAGGAGCUUAAUUAAAACUAUUUUCUCUUUUCACUCUGAUGGAUAGCAAGACAGGAAGAGAAAAGGUCACAAAGGUUACAAACGUUACACACGUAACUAGUGAAGGCAGAAUAAUUUUGACAAGUAGGAAUUUAGACACAAGUCACACAGCCCAAUUACUUGGAAUACAAGAAACAUGAUGGGAAGCGACUUUGCUGCAUGAUAAUAUGAUACACCAGAAACGUGA